rnacentral:sRNA from 1 species
CAACCAUCAGGUGGACCGGAAUCAUUUG